UGGGGAAUUUUGGACAAUGGGGGCAACCCUGAUCCAGCCAUCCCGCGUGUGCGAUGAAGGCCUUCGGGUUGUAAAGCACUUUUGGCAGGGAAGAAACAGCCUGGGAUAAUACCCCGGGCGACUGACGGUACCUGCAGAAUAAGCACCGGCUAACUACGUGCCAGCAGCCGCGGUAAUACGUGGGGGUGCAAGCGUUAAUCGGAAUUACUGGGCGUAAAGCGUGCGCAGGCGGUUCGGAAAGAAAGGUGUGAAAUCCAGGGCUUAACCUUGGAACUGCACUUUAACUACCGAGCUAGGGUACGUCAGAGGGGGGUAGAAUUCCACGUGUAGCAGUGAAAUGCGUAGAGAUGUGGAGGAAUACCGAUGGCGAAGGCAGCCCCCUGGGAUGAUACUGACGCUCAUGCACGAAAGCGUGGGGAGCAAACAGGAUUAGAUACCCUGGUAGUCCACGCCCUAAACGAUGUCAACUAGCUGUUGGGGUUUAUUAACCUUAGUAGCGCAGCUAACGCGUGAAGUUGACCGCCUGGGGAGUACGGUCGCAAGAUUAAAACUCAAAGGGAAUUGACGGGGGUCAUAGCUGUUUCCUG
rnacentral:rRNA from 1 species